rnacentral:rRNA from 1 species
CAGCAGCCACGGUAAUACGUAGGUCCCGAGCGUUGUCCGGAUUUAUUGGGCGUAAAGCGAGCGCAGGCGGUUAGAUAAGUCUGAGGUUAAAGGCUGUGGCUUAACCAUAGUACGCUUUGGAAACUGUUUAACUUGAGUGCAAGAGGGGAGAGUGGAAUUCCCAGUGUAGCGGUGAAAUGCGUAGAUAUUGGGAGGAACACCGGAGGCGAAGGCGGCUUACUGGAAGAUAACUGACGUUGAGGCUCGAAGGCGUGGGUAGCAAACAGGAUUAGAUACCCGGGUAGUCCCUGUCUCUUAUACC